UACGUAGGGUGCAAGCGUUAUCCGGAAUUACUGGGCGUAAAGCGUGCGCAGGCGGCUUCGCAAGUCAGACGUGAAAUCCCCGGGCUUAACCUGGGAAUGGCGUUUGAAACUACGGAGCUGGAGUGUGGCAGAGGGAGGUAGAAUUCCACGUGUAGCGGUGAAAUGCGUAGAUAUGUGGAGGAAUACCGAUGGCGAAGGCAGCCUCCUGGGCCAACACUGACGCUCAUGCACGAAAGCGUGGGGAGCAAACAGG
rnacentral:rRNA from 1 species